rnacentral:rRNA from 1 species
GAUGAACGCUGGCGGCGUGCCUAAUACAUGCAAGUCGAGCGAACAGACGAGGAGCUUGCUCCUCUGACGUUAGCGGCGGACGGGUGAGUAACACGUGGAUAACCUACCUAUAAGACUGGGAUAACUUCGGGGAACCGGAGCUAAUACCGGAUAAUAUAUUGAACCGCAUGGUUCAAUAGUGAAAGACGGUUUUGCUGUCACUUAUAGAUGGAUCCGCGCCGCAUUAGCUAGUUGGUAAGGUAACGGCUUACCAAGGCAACGAUGCGUAGCCGACCUGAGAGGGUGAUCGGCCACACUGGAACUGUGACACGGUCCAGACUCCUACGGGAGGCAGCAGUAGGGAAUCUUCCGCAAUGGGCGAAAGCCUGACGGAGCAACGCCGCGUGAGUGAUGAAGGUCUUCGGAUCGUAAAACUCUGUUAUUAGGGAAGAACAAAUGUGUAAGUAACUAUGCACGUCUUGACGGUACCUAAUCAGAAAGCCACGGCUAACUACGUG